ACCGAGGAAAUGCAUCGGAAACUUUUUUUUCUGAGUGCAGAAGAGGAGAGUGAAACUCCAUUGUAGCGGUGGAAUGCGGUAGAUAUAGGAAGAACACCUAGGGGGCGAAGGCGGCUCUCUGGGUCUGCAACUGACGCUGAGGCUCGGAAAGCAUGGGUAGCGAACAGGAAUUAGAUACCCUGGUAGUCAUGCCGUAAACGAUGAGUGCUAAGUGUUGGGAGGUUUCCGCCUCUCAGUGCUGCAGCUAACGCAUUAAGCACUCCGCCUGGGGAGUACGACCGCAAGGUUGAAACUCAAAGGAAUUGACGGGGGCCCGCACAAGCGGUGGAGCAUGUGGUUUAAUUCGAAGCAACGCGAAGAACCUUACCAGGUCUUGACAUCUAGUGCCAUUUGUAGAGAUACAAAGUUCCCUUCGGGGACGCUAAGACAGGUGGUGCAUGGCUGUCGUCAGCUCGUGUCGUGAGAUGUUGGGUUAAGUCCCGCAACGAGCGCAACCCUUGUUAUUAGUUGCCAGCAUUAAGUUGGGCACUCUAAUGAGACUGCCGGUGACAAACCGGAGGAAGGCGGGGAUGACGUCAAGUCAUCAUGCCCCUUAUGACCUGGGCUACACACGUGCUACAAUGGGCAGUACAACGAGAAGCGAGCCUGCGAAGGCAAGCGAAUCUCUGAAAGCUGUUCUUAGUUCGGACUGCAGUCUGCAACUCGACUGCACGAAGCUGGAAUCGCUAGUAAUCGCGGAUCAGCACGCCGCGGUGAAUACGUUCCCGGGCCUUGUACACACCGCCCGUCACACCAUGGGAGUCUGCAAUGCCCAAAGCCGGUGGCCUAACCUUCGGGAAGGAGCCGUCUAAGGCAGGGCAGAUGACUGGGGUGAAGUCGUAACAAGGUAGCCGUAGGAGAACCUGCGGCUGGAACACCUCCUU
rnacentral:rRNA from 1 species